rnacentral:rRNA from 1 species
AACGUAGGAGACAAACGUUAUCCGGAGUUACUGGGCGUAAAGGGCGUGUAGGCGGUCUGUUAAGUCUGGCGUGAAAGCUCUCGGCUAAACCGGGAGAGGUCGUUGGAUACUGGCAGACUAGAGGACGGUAGAGGCGUGUGGAAUUCCGGGUGUAGUGGUGAAAUGCGUAGAGAUCCGGAGGAACACCAGUGGCGAAGGCGGCAUCCUGGACCGACACUGACACUGAGGAGCGAAAGCCAGGGGAGCAAACGGG